rnacentral:lncRNA from 1 species
UUAACGAUGCCCUUAGGCAAAGGGAACUUGUUGAAUAUCUCAUCUUGAAAUCCUAACUUCAGUAGCAAGCCUUUUUUGUAGAGAUCAUCAAUCUCUCCGAAGUCAGAAAAGUCAUCAGCUAAAAUACUAGCUUUAAGCGACGGAACAAGGUGGUGUAACACCGCUUUUAACCUCCCUGCGGCGAAAGUGUCCUGCUUAGUCUCUUCAAAUUGCUCGUCUCGUGGCACGUACAUAGGUAAUGGCUUUUCCACUCGGCUCUCCGCUUCAUUAUCUGCCAACAAUGCAGAUAAAACAUCAGAUACAUUUUUUUCACAGUACCAGUCAUGGACAAUUGGACAUGACCAAAUGAAACAUUGGCUGUAGAACUUCAAAAAAAUUAGAGUCAAUUUAUAAAAAUGUAUCUCUCCAAUUUUUUAAUUUUUUUUAAAAAAAAUCGUUAAUUACUGACUUGUUUAUCGUCUCAAAAUUUCAUGAUCCGCUUGAUUUCAUAACACCCAAAACACAUAUACUAUUAGAGAUAUUGUUUUUAAGAAUGUUGUUAUGAAUUGUACCGGUAUCAGUUGGCUGGCGACCAGUGCGACACCGUCUAGGGUAAGGCCUCUCUCUGCCACCGAGUUUCGGACGAGAGAGUUCAGAUGACUUGUCGGGAUUUCCAAGAUCGUUGUAGACAUCAAAGUCAUAGAUUCUGUCUGAUAACUUCCUGACUCCAGUCCCAUCUCCUCGUAGAUUCUUCAACUCUUUCCCCCUUAGUUUUCUUAAUCCUUCAGGUGUCUCACUCGGCAAAAACGGCUGCACACAAAUUAACAUAACUUGAUUUUUAAUAAUUUAUAACCACAUAUUAUUUAUGGGAAUAUAGUUGAAAGCUGGCUAAUAAGUAUUAUUAUAUGGACCCACCAGACAUGAAUAUUGGAGAAGAUUUUGAAACUGAUUAGUAUAUGUGAUUAAUUCGUUGGAGAUCGAAAAUGACGUGACUUAAAUGGUCUGGGACCGUAAUUAAUUAUGUAUCAGUCAGAUAUUUUAAUCAGUAGGAUCCAUGUGCUCAGUUUUCGUUCUAUUUGAUUUAUAAACAAAUCAACCAUAAAUUUUAAAGAAAAAAAUACGAAAAUAGAAGAAAAUCUACUUUGAGCUUAUUACAUCUUUGGAAAAGAAUGCAUGUCUUCUAUUUCUAUAUAUUGAUUACUCGCGUGAGAGCCACUUGGUCCACACAUGGACUUAUGUACAAUUGUACUUAUAUAUGUCGUUUAUUUGUCAUCUUUCUCUACGUCACUAACAAGCUCAGCUCGAUUGAGGUUGUUGGCUUUUUGUCUGAUAAAUCUAAUUAAGUUGAUUACUCUGCAUCAUUGGAUCAGAAUCAACCAGACACAAAUAGCUUUUUGUACGUUCGAUUUUUCUACCCAACUUAAGGUUCGUAUGUAUGUCAGAUUAGGUUAAAACCAUAAGAACAAACCUUGUCUUGACUCUUUAGUGUAUAUCUCGAUCUGCCUUAAUUUCCCUGAUGAAAAGGUACAAAUAUAUAUUUUAUACGUCUGAGGAGAUAGUGUGUGACCCAAGUUAGGUCAGAACCCAAGAAGCCUUGGUUUUAGGUCCAAUUUAAAGUUGAAACAGAGCCACUUUGAAGUUUUCUUUUGAAAAAUUUAAGUUGAGCAAUCGAGAUCUCCAUGAUCCAAUUCGAAAGGGAGUCACUUUGAAGUUAUCUAUAAAAUGAGCCCAAAUCAUAAUCCAUCGUCGCAACAAUAAGCAUAUGGUAUUUUAAAUUUUCAAAUUUCAUAAAUUUUAUGGUCUUUUGGGCCAUAAUUAACCGGAGAUGAACAAAUCCAUUGUCUGAAUAUAUUUCAAAAUAUUAUGAAUAUGAAUUUAAAUCUAGCUUCGAGAACAUAUCUGCAAAAUUCAAAUGUACCAAUUUAUAUAUUUUAUUUCAUUUUCAAAAAUCAUAUAUAACAGAUUUCUACAUUUUCUCCUAUAUUUAAUCUCAUUCUAUAUCGAUACACUAUUAGGUACACCUCUGCACGUAACACCUGGCUCAGAACUCGGAACCAACAACUCGUAAGGCAAAACUCCAGCUCCACACCUGUUUCUACGGUUAGGAUCACUGUUUCUUUUCUCAAUCUCUUUUUCUAUCCGUCCAAUCUCCGCCGCAAAUCCAUAAAACGCAUCAACAAUCUCCGCAUCUCCGGUCCAAGUGGACGGUUGUUGUCUCUCCCCGAUAUACUCCUCAUCCGGAGAAUGCGUUGACAACGUAUCAACCACCGCCAUAAACUUCGACGUUUGCAACAAACUCGGCAUCGAAGAAAAAUAAAAUUUCUCAGGAUCCGAGAUAAAACUUGCGUACUCCGGAUCCGACUCGUCAGGGAUUAACCGUCGCAUCAGCGGAGGUCGGUUUGGGACGUAACCUCCAUACGGAUACUGUCCGAAGUUGAGAGCGGCGUGUUGAGCGGAGGCGAGCCAGACUAGUGUGGUGAGGAUGGAGACUAGGUCGUCCACGGUGUCUAACUUUGGCCACCACUCGGCUUCGCGGAGAUCUGCAUGGCCUACGUUGAUUGACUCCGAGUACCACGAUUGGAGUUCCGAGUCUGUUUGAAUUGAGUUCGAGUUUGGAUAGUAACGUUCCACGUAAGUUCGGACCCAUGUUUGGAUUGCGGACCAUAUUAGAAGACCGUCGUUCGCAUAUGGAUAGUCUUCGAUCAGGAGUUUAAGUCCAUGUGGUUGUGUUGGGUCUGGAACUGCCAUUCCUCUAAAAAACAAAAUAAAACGAUCAAUAUUAGAUAUCAUACGUAUAAAAUUGUGUUUGACAUAAUCAAGAAUAGUAUAUGUCUAACAAAGUUUAGCUACAAUACCUGCGAAUGAGAUCGGCAGGGAGGCCUUCCAUGUCGAACCGCCAACUACUUUUGUAGGCUGCGGAGCUCAUUUCCAAACCGUAUUGGCCAGCAGUGAAGCCUCCUUCAAUCACACCGUCUGCACUGAUCAAUGAUUGUCUAGCCAGUGCAUUGAUCUCCAACGUAUACCUCAUGUGUGGAUCCAAUAGUUUGAAUAUCGGAUGCAUAGCGCUUAAUUGCCUAUGUGCAGCUAUUAUAAACGGUUCCAAGCAUGCAUGGGUUCGUAACCUUUAGAACAAAAAUUGAUAAAUAUAUCAAUAACUCUAUAUUCAUUAUUAACAACUUGUUACAUAAAUGAUUAGUAAGUUAACGUUUUGAGUACUAACCAGUGGUUAACAAGUUGGUGGACUCCAGCAUCGUUGGAGCUAACAUGUGCUUUAGCGAGCUGCCACACCCAGUUAGAGGUUGCAUCGACAGGAGGUGUAACAACUCGUUUGGAUCGGUGGUUCGGGCCAUGGGAAGGGAGGCUUAGCUCGAUGGCUACGGGCUUAAGUGUUCCAAGACGAGUCAAGAAGAAAAUGGUUCGAGUAGCAUAUGCUUUGCGUCCAUCGAGCGCAUUGAUUUGGUCUAGGAACGGUAAGAAUAUGUCAUGGUAAUCCAACAUAUACAAUCUGUUCUCUUCCAACGCCUGAAAAAUAAUUAAACAAAAAUUAGUUGAUCAAAUUUCACUUUUAGUAAUUAUUCGAGUAAUUUGGAUUUGUUUAUAGUAUAAAACGUACUUGUUGAACGGACAAGCCGUCAAGAUGUCCGAUGAUGUGGUCGGAAGUGAGAGCGGAGUGUUGUGGACCGUAGAUUUCGGGGUCAAGAUUACUGACGGGUGGGAAAGUCUUGACUCUCUCAAUGUUGACUGGAUUGAUUCCAGCUAUGGCUUGACGUGCGAACUCGUCAUCUCGUAGCCAUGCGUUUUUAUCCUCUGCAUUCAUUUUAAAAAAAAAGUCAAUUAGUUAAUAACGCUGAUGUGCUAAGCAUGUUAUGAUUUUGAAUUAAUGAAAGGCAAACGCGCUUUUGUUUAUUCACAAACUAAUACUACUAUAACUAGCACGAGCGUUAUAACGAGUCAAGAAAAGCACGUGAAACAUGCAUAUGUUUGCUUAUGCACUCUUUUAUUCCUGCUUUUCAACUAAAAUGAUUAUUUCUUACUUUUUGGUAGGACGAUAACACUUCAUAAUGGUCCCAAUUAUCAAAGACCAACAAUCGCCACAAAAUCAAAGUUCAUUUUCUAUUAAAACACCCUUUUUAUUAAAAUCAAAAUUUGAUGUUAAAAUUUUUUAUGAAUUAAGUGAGCUUACUCGAUAAUAUUUUGGGAGUGUCGUAUUUGAGGAGUCCUUUCGAAGAUUCUUGGAGGGUAUUAACGAUGCCCUUAGGCAAAGGGAACUUGUUGAAUAUCUCAUCUUGAAAUCCUAACUUCAGUAGCAAGCCUUUUUUGUAGAGAUCAUCAAUCUCUCCGAAGUCAGAAAAGUCAUCAGCUAAAAUACUAGCUUUAAGCGACGGAACAAGGUGGUGUAACACCGCUUUUAACCUCCCUGCGGCGAAAGUGUCCUGCUUAGUCUCUUCAAAUUGCUCGUCUCGUGGCACGUACAUAGGUAAUGGCUUUUCCACUCGGCUCUCCGCUUCAUU